rnacentral:rRNA from 1 species
GACGAACGCUGGCGGCGUGCCUAAUACAUGCAAGUAGAACGCAGUUGCGAACGGGUGAGUAACGCGUAGGUAACGGCCUCAUAGCGGGGGAUAACUAUUGGAAACGAUAGCUAAUACCGCAUACUGUGAGAUGGACCUGCGUUGUAUUAGCUAGUUGGUGAGGUAAAGGCUCACCAAGGCGACGAUACAUAGCCGACCUGAGAGGGUUAUCCGCCCCACUGGGAAUGAGGCACGGCCCAGGAUCCUUCGGUAGGCAGCAGUAGGGAAUCUUCGGCCAUGGACGGAAGGCUUACUGGGCACAGCCGCGUGAGUGAAGGAGGUUUUCGGAUCGUAAAGCUCUUUUGUUUGAGGAGCGUUAACUAACCAGAAAGGGACGGCUAACUACGUGCCAGCAGCCGCGGUAAUAC